GAUGAAGAACGUAGCGAAAUGCGAUAAGUAAUGUGAAUUGCAGAAUUCAGUGAAUCAUCGAAUCUUUGAACGCACAUUGCGCCCCCUGGUAUUCCGGGGGGCAUGCCUGUUCGAGCGUCAUUUCAACCCUCAAGCUCUGCUUGGUAUUGAGUCCAUGUCAGCAAUGGCAGGCUCCAAAAUCAGUGGCGGCGCCGCUGGGUCCUGAACGUAGUAAUAUCUCUCGUUACAGGUGCUCGGCGUGCUUCUGCCAAAACCCCAAUUUUUCUAUGGUUGACCUCGGAUCAGGUAGGGAUACCUGCUGAACUUAAGCAUAUCAAUAAGCGGAGGA
rnacentral:misc_RNA from 1 species